AUUGAACGCUGGCGGCAGGCCUAACACAUGCAAGUCGAGCGGAUGAAGGGAGCUUGCUCCUGGAUUCAGCGGCGGACGGGUGAGUAAUGCCUAGGAAUCUGCCUGGUAGUGGGGGAUAACGUCCGGAAACGGGCGCUAAUACCGCAUACGUCCUGAGGGAGAAAGUGGGGGAUCUUCGGACCUCACGCUCUCAGAUGAGCCUAGGUCGGAUUAGCUAGUUGGUGGGGUAAAGGCCUACCAAGGCGACGGUCCGUAACUGGUCUGAGAGGAUGAUCAGUCACACUGGAACUGAGACACGGUCCAGACUCCUACGGGAGGCAGCAGUGGGGAAUAUUGGACAAUGGGCGAAAGCCUGAUCCAGCCAUGCCGCGUGUGUGAAGAAGGUCUUCGGAUUGUAAAGCACUUUAAGUUGGGAGGAAGGGCAGUAAGUUAAUACCUUGCUGUUUUGACGUUACCAACAGAAUAAGCACCGGCUAACUUCGUG
rnacentral:rRNA from 1 species